rnacentral:misc_RNA from 1 species
ACAAACUUGGUCAUUUAGAGGAAGUAAAAGUCGUAACAAGGUUUCCGUAGGUGAACCUGCGGAAGGAUCAUUAUUAAAAUCAUAAACACGAGAUAAUGUGGGGGGGACCAGAAAGUCAACCCUACAUCGUAGUACUGAAGAAAUCAACUCUCAGUAGCAAUACUGUCUGGCUGAUCCCUCAGUUCUGCUUUAUUCUCAUACACGAUUACUAUUGACAAAUUUAUUGACAAACAAUAUAAAACAACUUUUAACAAUGGAUCUCUUGGCUCUUGCAUCGAUGAAGAACGCAGC